GGACGAACGCUGGCGGCGUGCCUAAUACAUGCAAGUCGAACGAACUCUGGUAUUGAUUGGUGCUUGCAUCAUGAUUUACAUUUGAGUGAGUGGCGAACUGGUGAGUAACACGUGGGAAACCUGCCCAGAAGCGGGGGAUAACACCUGGAAACAGAUGCUAAUACCGCAUAACAACUUGGACCGCAUGGUCCGAGRUUGAAAGAUGGCUUCGGCUAUCACUUUUGGAUGGUCCCGCGGCGUAUUAGCUAGAUGGUGNGGUAACGGCUCACCAUGGCAAUGAUACGUAGCCGACCUGAGAGGGUAAUCGGCCACAUUGGGACUGAGACACGGCCCAAACUCCUACGGGAGGCAGCAGUAGGGAAUCUUCCACAAUGGACGAAAGUCUGAUGGAGCAACGCCGCGUGAGUGAAGAAGGGUUUCGGCUCGUAAAACUCUGUUGUUAAAGAAGAACAUAUCUGAGAGUAACUGUUCAGGUAUUGACGGUAUUUAACCAGAAAGCCACGGCUAACUACGUGCCAGCAGCCGCGGUAAUACGUAGGUGGCAAGCGUUGUCCGGAUUUAUUGGGCGUAAAGCGAGCGCAGGCGGUUUUUUAAGUCUGAUGUGAAAGCCUUCGGCURAACCGAAGAAGUGCAUCGGAAACUGGGAAACUUGAGUGCAGAAGAGGACAGUGGAACUCCAUGUGUAGCGGUGAAAUGCGUAGAUAUAUGGAAGAACACCAGUGGCGAAGGCGGCUGUCUGGUCUGUAACU
rnacentral:rRNA from 2 species